UACGGAGGGUGCAAGCGUUGUCCGGAUUUAUUGGGUUUAAAGGGUGCGUAGGCGGCCCGGUAAGUCAGCGGUGAAAUCCCCGAGCUUAACUUGGGAACUGCCGUUGAUACUAUAUAUCUUGAAUGUCGUGGAGGUUAGCGGAAUAUGUCAUGUAGCGGUGAAAUGCUUAGAUAUGACAUAGAACACCCAUUGCGAAGGCAGCUAACUACGCGAAUAUUGACGCUGAGGCACGAAAGCGUGGGGAUCAAACAGG
rnacentral:rRNA from 1 species